UUAUUUUGACAGAAAUUGCUGCUACAUUCUAUUUAGUGUCCACUGCUAACUAUAGUAGCUACAUGGCUAACGGCAGUAAACCAUGUCAUGUGGGCUGAAAAUGUGUUGCAUCUCAUACAGAGGGUGAAUACAGCUGCAGCAACCAUGGGCAGUAUGAAAAAGAAAGUGUUUUUUUAACAAUAAAGCAUGUAAACAUUUU